GGGGAUAUAGCUCAGUUGGUAGAGUGCUUGCCUAGCAUGCACAAAGUCCUGGGUUCAAUCCCCAGCACCA
rnacentral:tRNA from 1 species